rnacentral:rRNA from 1 species
GGGGGGAAAAGGGGCGGCUGGCUAAGACAUGCAAGUCGAACGAGGUGUCCCAAUGAAAAUGAAGUACUUGUACGGAAGAGGAUUUGGAUUCACACCUAGUGGCGAACGGGUGAGUAACGGGUAGGCAACCUGCCCUCAAGACGGGGAUACCAGUUGGAAACGACUGUUAAUACCGGAUAGUAUACAAUAUCGCAUGGUAAUGUAUUUAAAGGAGCUUCGGCUUCACUUGAGGAUGGGCCUGCUUUGUAUUAGAUAGUUGGUGAGGUAAUGGCUCACCAAGUCAACGAUGCAUAGCCGAACUGAGAGGUUGAACGGCCACACUGGAACUGAGACACGGUCCAGACUCCUACGGGAGGCAGCAGUUAGGGAUAUUGGGCAAUGGAGGAAACUCUGACCCAGCAAUGCCGCGUGAGUGAAGAAGUAUUUCGGUAUGUAAAACUCUGUUGUAUGGGAGGAAAGAACUAGUAGGAAAUGGCUAGGAGAUGACUGUACCAUACGAGAAAGUCACGGCUAACUACGUGCCAGCAGCCGCGGUAAUACGUAGGUGGCAAGCGUUAUCCGGAAUUAUUGGGCGUAAAGGGUGCGUAGGUGGCAUGUUAAGUCUGGUGUAAAAGGCAAUAGCUCAACUAUUGUAUGCAUUGGAAACUGGCAAGCUAGAGUGUGUGAGAGGUAAGUGGAAUUCCAAGUGUAGCGGUGGAAUGCGUAGAUAUUUGGAGGAACACCAGUGGCGAAGGCGGCUUACUGGCACACAACUGACACUGAGGCACGACAGCGUGGGGAGCAAAUAGGAUUAGAUACCCUAGUAGUCCACGCCGUAAACGAUGAGCGCUAAGUGUUGGCCAUUAGUUUGGUCAGUGCUGAAGCAAACGCAUUAAGCGCUCCGCCUGAAGAGUACGGUCGCAAGGCUGAAACUCAAAGGAAUUGACGGGUCCCCGCACAAGCGGUGGAGCAUGUGGUUUAAUUCGAAGAUACGCGAAGAACCUUACCUACACUUGACAUCCCUCUGACAGAUAUAGAGAUAUAUUUUUCUUCGGACAGAAGUGACAGGUGGUGCAUGGUUUGUCGUCAGCUCCGUGUCGUGAGAUGUUGGGUUAAGUCCCGCAACCGAGCGCAACCCCUAUUAAUUAAUUGCUAACAUUUAAUUUAAGGACUCUAGUCCG